AGCGAACGCUGGCGGCAGGCCUAACACAUGCAAGUCGAACGGCUCUUCGGAGCAGUGGCGGACGGGUGAGUAACACGUGGGAACGUGCCCUAAGGUACGGAACAACUGAGGGAAACUUCAGCUAAUACCGUAUGUGCCCUUCGGGGAAGGAUUAUCGUCUUAGGAGCGGCCCGCGUUGGAUUAGGUAGUUGGUGGGGUAAGGCCUACCAAGCCUACGAUCCAUAGCUGGUCUGAGAGGAUGAUCAGCCACACUGGGACUGAGACACGGCCCAGACUCCUACGGGAGGCAGCAGUGGGGAAGUCUUGCGCAGUGGGCGGAAAGCCUGACGCAGCGACGCCGCGUGCGGGAAGAAGGCCUUCGGUUG
rnacentral:rRNA from 1 species